rnacentral:tRNA from 1 species
GGGGGUAUAGUUUAACUGGUAAAACAACGAACUUGCACUUCGUAAUUUUAGGUUCAAUUCCUAAUAUCUCCA